CCUACGGGAGGCAGCAGUAGGGAAUAUUGGACAAUGGGUGAGAGCCUGAUCCAGCCAUGCCGCGUGCAGGAAGAAGGCGUUAUGCGUUGUAAACUGCUUUUGCCAGGGGAUAAAACGGUUCUGCGGAACUAAUUCGAAGGUACCUGGUGAAUAAGCCACGGCUAACUACGUGCCAGCAGCCGCGGUAAU
rnacentral:rRNA from 1 species